GGGGGUUUAGCUCAGUUGGUAGAGCGCCUGCUNNGCAAGCAGGAUGUCAGCGGUUCGAGUCCGCUAACCUCCA
rnacentral:tRNA from 1 species